GAUCUAAUCCAGAGUACCACGAGACACGUGAAACCUUGUGGGAAGCAGGGAGGACCACCUCCCAAGGCUAAAUACUACCUAGUGACCGAUAGUGAAGCAGUACCGUGAGGGAAAGGUGAAAAGAACCCCGGAAGGGGAGUGAAAUAGAACCUGAAACCGUGUGCCUACAACCGAUCGGAGCACGUUAAAGUGUGACGAUGUGCUUUUUGUAGAACGAGCCAGCGAGUUACGCUAUGUAGCAAGGUUAAGUACUUAAGGUAUGGAGCCGAAGGGAAACCGAGUCUGAAAAGGGCGAAAAGUUGCAUGGUGUAGACCCGAAACCGGGUGACCUAUCCAUGGCCAGGUUGAAGCGAGAGUAAAAUCUCGUGGAGGACCGAACCACGUUGGUGUUGAAAAACCAUGGGAUGAGCUGUGGAUAGCGGAGAAAUUCCAAUCGAACUCGGAGAUAGCUGGUUCUCCUCGAAAUAGCUUUAGGGCUAGCGUCGUGUAAUUGAGUAAUGGAGGUAGAGCACUGAAUGGGCUAGGGGCUAUAGUAGUUACCGAACCCUAUCAAACUCCGAAUGCCAUAUACUUGUAUCACGGCAGUCAGACUGCGAAUGAUAAGAUCCGUAGUCAAAAGGGAAACAGCCCAGACCAUCAGCUAAGGUCCCAAAGUGUAAGUUAAGUGGAAAAGGAUGUGGGAUUUCUAAGACAACUAGGAUGUUGGCUUAGAAGCAGCCACUCAUUUAAAGAGUGCGUAAUAGCUCACUAGUCAAGAGAUCCUGCGCCGAAGAUGUCCGGGGCUCAAACUUACCACCGAAGCUAUGGGUGUACACUACGUGUACGCGGUAGAGGAGCUUUCUGUAUGGGUUGAAGUCGUACCGUAAGGAGCGGUGGACUGUACAGAAGUGAGAAUGCUGGCAUAAGUAGCGAGAAAUAAGUGAGAAUCUUAUUGGCCGAAAACCUAAGGUUUCCUGAGGAAGGUUCGUCCGCUCAGGGUUAGUCGGGACCUAAGCCGAGGCCGAAAGGCGUAGGUGAUGGACAAUCGGUUGAUAUUCCGAUACCACCUAUUUACGUUUGAGAAAUGGGGUGACGCAGUAGGAUAAGAUGUGCGCACUAUUGGAUGUGCGUCUAAGCACUUAGGCAUGCUUGAUAGGCAAAUCCGUCGAGCUAAGCUGAGGUGUGAUGGGGAGCCAUUUAUGGCGAAGUAUCUGAUUCCACACUGCCAAGAAAAGCCUCUAUCGAGUGAAUAGGUGCCCGUACCGCAAACCGACACAGGUAGGUGAGGAGAGAAUCCUAAGGCCAUCGGAAGAAUUGCUGUUAAGGAACUCGGCAAAUUGACCCCGUAACUUCGGGAGAAGGGGUGCCUACGAAAGUAGGCCGCAGAGAAUAGGCCCAAGCAACUGUUUAGCAAAAACACAGGUCUCUGCUAAAGCGAAAGCUGAUGUAUAGGGGCUGACGCCUGCCCGGUGCUGGAAGGUUAAGGGGAACACUUAGCGUAAGCGAAGGUGUGAACUUAAGCCCCAGUAAACGGCGGCCGUAACUAUAACGGUCCUAAGGUAGCGAAAUUCCUUGUCGGGUAAGUUCCGACCCGCACGAAUGGCGUAAUGAUUUGGGCACUGUCUCAACAGCAAAUCCGGCGAAAUUGUAGUGCAAGUGAAGAUGCUUGCUACCCGCGAUUGGACGGAAAGACCCCGUAGAGCUUUACUGUAGCUUAGCAUUGAAUCUCGGUAUUGUCUGUACAGGAUAGGUGGGAGACUUGGAAACUUGGGCGUCAGCCUGAGUGGAGUCAUCCUUGGGAUACCACCCUGACAGUACUGGGGUUCUAACCGGCGGCCAUGAAUCUGGUCACGGGACAUUGUUAGGUGGGCAGUUUGACUGGGGCGGUCGCCUCCUAAAAAGUAACGGAGGCGCCCAAAAGUUCCCUCAGCGCGGUCGGAAAUCGCGCGAAGAGUGCAAAGGCAGAAGGGAGCUUGACUGCGACACAUACAGGUGGAGCAGGGACGAAAGUCGGGCUUAGUGAUCCGGUGGUACCUCGUGGGAGGGCCAUCGCUCAACGGAUAAAAGCUACCUCGGGGAUAACAGGCUGAUCUCCCCCAAGAGUCCACAUCGACGGGGAGGUUUGGCACCUCGAUGUCGGCUCGUCGCAUCCUGGGGCUGAAGUAGGUCCCAAGGGUUGGGCUGUUCGCCCAUUAAAGCGGCACGCGAGCUGGGUUCAGAACGUCGUGAGACAGUUCGGUCCCUAUCCGUCGCGGGCGUAGGAAAUUUGAGAGGAGCUGUCCUUAGUACGAGAGGACCGGGAUGGACCAACCUCUGGUGCACCAGUUGUCACGCCAGUGGCACAGCUGGGUAGCUAUGUUGGGACUGGAUAAACGCUGAAAGCAUCUAAGCGUGAAGCCAACCUCAAGAUGAGAUUUCCCAUAGCGUAAGCUAGUAAGACUCCUGGAAGAACACCAGGUUGAUAGGUCAGAGAUGUAAGCAUGGCAACAUGUUAAGUUGACUGAUACUAAUAAGUCGAGGGCUUGACCAAA
rnacentral:rRNA from 1 species